rnacentral:rRNA from 1 species
UACGUAGGGCGCAAGCGUUGUCCGGAAUUAUUGGGCGUAAAGAGCUCGUAGGCGGCUUUGUAAGUUAGAGGUGAAAGCCCGGGGCUCAACUCCGGAAUUGCCUUUAAGACUGCAUCGCUAGAAUUGUGGAGAGGUAAGUGGAAUUCCGAGUGUAGAGGUGAAAUUCGUAGAUAUUCGGAAGAACACCAGUGGCGAAGGCGGCUCACUGGACCGGUUCUGACGCUGAGGCGCGAAAGCGUGGGGAGCGAACGGG